UUUGUUGUUCUUUCGUUCUGCUUCUUCCUCUUCUUCUUCUCUGUCAAAGCUAGUAAGCCCCAAGCCCAGGUCCGGCGAGCUCCGCCUCUUAGUCUGUCAAGCCACAUACCUAUAUGGUCCAUCAAGCCUCGCACCCAGCUAGCCCAUCGAGCCUCACACCCUGGUUCAUUGACCUUUUGCAACCCCGUGUCAAACCCAGAUCCACUUUCUCCCUCCCAAAUCUUUCUCCUCUAAUUGCCACAAUUCGCGACCUCUUUUGGAUGCCCCAGUUCGACUCACAAGCAGAUUUUUGUUGGAGGCUGAGUUUCUAGAUCUGAUUUUAUUUUAUGAUUAGUUUGCCUUUGGACUCUAUGUAUGGAUUUGGGUGUUACAUUUUUUAAUUUGAAUGAUCAUUUGAGAUGUUGAAACUUGAAUUGGGUUUUGAAUUGGGAUCAUUUGAGAAGAAUAAGAAGAGGAGGAGGCUCAGUUUAUGUUAUAAUUUGUUUAAUUUAAGUUCUUUUUUAUUUUGUUAUUAAGAAAGAAAAUACACUAAAAGUAUUUUAAAAUAUAAUAAAACAUUAAAUACAAAGGUA